GGAGAGGUGGCUGAGUGGCUGAAAGCGCACGCUUGGAAAGCGUGUGACUCGCAAGGGUUCCAGGGUUCGAAUCCCUGCCUCUCCGCCA
rnacentral:tRNA from 1 species